GGAGUCUCGCUCUGUUCCCCAGGCUGGAGUGCAGUGGCACGAUCUCAGCUCACUUCAGCCUCUGCCUUCCAGGUUCAAAUGAUUCUCCUGCCUCAGCCUCCCAAGUAGCUGGGAUUACAGGCAUGCACCACCACGCCAGCUGAUUUGUGUAUUUUUAGUGGAGACAGGGUUUCACUAUAUUGGCCAGGCUGGUCUCGAUUUCCUGACCUCAGUUGAUCCACCCGCCUCAGGCUCCCAAAGUGGUAGGAUUAUAGGCGCUAGCCACUGCACCUGGCUAUGUGUGGCUAUUUAAAAACACAGUCCUAAAAAACUGUUGGGACAGAGAAGAAUCAGAAUGAAAAUGUGAAAACCUCCGAUCCAGCAGUGGCAAACAUGACGAUAGGAAAGUGCUGCCCACGGUGCUGCUGGACGAGAUCGAGGCGGCCGAGCUGGAGGGCAAUGACGACAGGAUUGAGGGCGUGCUGUGUGGGGCCGUGAAGCAGCUGAAGGUCACCCGUGCCAAGCCCGACAGCACCCUCUACCUGAGCCUCAUGUACCUGGCCAAGAUCAAGCCCAACAUCUUCGCCACCGAGGGCGUCAUCGAGGCUCUGUGUAGCCUCCUGCGGCGGGACGCCUCCAUCAACUUCAAAGCCAAGGGGAACAGCCUGGUGUCCGUGCUGGCCUGUAACCUCCUCAUGGCCGCCUAUGAGGAGGACGAGAACUGGCCCGAGAUCUUUGUCAAGGUGUACAUUGAGGACUCCCUGGGGGAGCGGAUCUGGGUGGACAGCCCUCACUGUAAGACGUUUGUGGACAACAUCCAGACGGCCUUCAACACCAGAAUGCCCCCC
rnacentral:sRNA from 1 species